rnacentral:rRNA from 1 species
AGUUGGUGGUGUGAGUUGUCUGGUUGAUUCCGUUAACGAGCGAGACCUUUGUUGUAUAAUAGGAGGCUGUAGUAUGAGCGUUAUGGGCGCGAUUUGGCGGAGUUGCUGGAGUCGGGCAACCGCCCCGGCAAUGAUUCGCUGCGUGCUUGCUGAGCUAGAGUCAGUUUUCCUUCUAUGCGAGACAAAUACAGAAAAUGUAUUGGAAGUAAAGGCAAAAACAGGU